UACGUAGGUCGCAAGCGUUGUCCGGAUUUACUGGGCGUAAAGAGCGCGCAGGCGGCUGGUCAAGUCCGAUGUGAAAUCUCCCGGCUCAACUGGGAAACUGCAUCGGAAACUGAUCGGCUUGAAGAUGGGAGAGGGUAGUGGAAUUCCCGGUGUAGUGGUGAAAUGCGUAGAUAUCGGGAGGGAACACCAGUGGCGAAGGCGACUACCUGGCCCAUUCUUGACGCUGAGGCGCGAAAGCUAGG
rnacentral:rRNA from 1 species